rnacentral:piRNA from 1 species
UUUGAAGCCGUUAGUUCUCCCCUGG